AUUGAACGCUGGCGGCAGGCCUAACAUAUGCAAGUCGAGCGGCAGCGGGAAGGUAGCUUGCUACUUUUGCCGGCGAGCGGCGGACGGGUGAGUAAUGCCUGGGGAUCUGCCCAGUCGAGGGGGAUAACUACUGGAAACGGUAGCUAAUACCGCAUACGCCCUACGGGGGAAAGCAGGGGACCUUCGGGCCUUGCGCGAUUGGAUGAGCCCAGGUGGGAUUAGCUAGUUGGUGAGGUAAUGGCUCACCAAGGCGACGAUCCCUAGCGGGUCUGAGAGGAUGAUCAGCCACACUGGAACUGAGACACGGUCCAGACUCCUACGGGGGGCAGCAGUGGGGAAUAUUGCACAAUGGGGGAAACCCUGAUGCGGCCAUGCCGCGUGUGUGAAGAAGGCCUUCGGGUUGUAAAGCACUUUCAGCGAGGAGGAAAGGUUGGUAGCUAACAACUGCCAGCUGUGACGUUACUCGCAGAAGAAGCACCGGCUAACUCCGUGCCAGCCGCCGCAGUAACAC
rnacentral:rRNA from 1 species